UACAGAGGUCCCGAGCGUUGUUCGGAUUCACUGGGCGUAAAGGGUGCGUAGGUGGCUUGGAAAGUUUGAUGCGAAAGCUCAGGGCUUAACCCUGAAAUGGCAUUGAAUACUGUCGAGCUGGAGGUUUGGAGGGGGGACUGGAAUUCUUGGUGUAGCAGUGAAAUGCGUAGAUAUCAAGAGGAACACCAGUGGCGAAGGCGAGUCCCUGGACAACACCUGACACUGAGGCACGAAAGCUAGGGGAGCAAACAGG
rnacentral:rRNA from 1 species